GACCAUGUGGAUACAUGAAGAGAUGGUUUCUGGGCUGGAACGAGGACUGGCCACAGAAUUCUCUGGAUUAAGAUCAGUGUGUCAAAUUCAUUUCAUACCUUUCUCUUCACAAGAGCACCUACUGAAAAAGGGAGGUGGUGUGGACAGCAGGUGUGUUCAGGCUGCGGAUAGAGUCAGACUGAAGUAAAUCAGAUCCAGGCUCUGCGGCUUACAGCCAGGUGACCUCAGGUCUAUUACCGACUCUCCCGGUAAUGGCCUCUUCAGUGAAAGGGUAUCUACCUGAUAGGUGGUAAUGAAGACACAAUUGGAUAAUCCAGGUAAAGGGACUCACACCAGCAGCCCCAGCCUCACACGCGUGCUUCUCAGACAUGUAGACUCUCAGGUCCCACCCCAGACCUGCCGAAUCAGAAUCUGUAUUGAGUCCUCCAGGCUAUUCACCUGAAUGGUCCUUCAUCUCAAAUACUGCACUUUGGGAAGUCAUAGUAAAGUGAAACGCAUGAGCACUAUUAGCUAUAAUUAUACAGAGAUCAUCUGCCAUCAAAGUAACUAACCUCCUGCCAAAAUAAUAUAAACGGAGCCACUUUAAAAUGGAGCUGCAGCUGCCAUCCCAGAGGAACUGCCUUGCACAUCUUACGCCUCAAAUCUUUGGAAUAUUAAAACAAGGCAAAAUAAUCUUUGGACUGGGCCUAAAGCAACAUUGUGCCCCAAAGAACUGUUUGCAAAGCAGCUGAACUAGAAAUUCUGAAGGAGCCAUGCUUGAGUCUAGAACUGUCACAUGCCAUGCCUCGCACCCCUCCGAAGAUCCUUCCGCAGGCAUUGAGCAGAUGAAUUAGCAAGAUAUGAAGUCAGACAGUGAAGUUCACGAACUCAUCCUAGAAAAAAGCACUACAUACCUCAUUGCUGAAUAUCACUACGGUCACCUUCCAAGUCCUCCCCUUGGGAAGCUAUGGACCA